rnacentral:rRNA from 1 species
AUGGGCGUGGAAGACGGUUUUGGAUCCUGUGAGCCACCGCCGCUGCCUCGUCGUCAAGCAACGUGGGCCUUCUGCUGCUCCAUGUCCAACAAGUCACCCACGCGUCAGUGUGGCAUUGCUAGAUCCAGCUUCCCCCUGCAAUCGUCUCUGCCUCUAGCACUUGCACGCAAUCGUGCUGGUUUCUGUAGUUCAAGAUCAAAGGCAAGAACAGCCAAAUAUGAUGACGAGAACAAGGCUAAUGAUGGAGAACCUUCAUCUAUCGAAGCUGAGCAGUCUAUUGGGAUACUAAGUUUCAAUGCGCAUCCUAAGUUUCAGUUACCUGAAAUCAAGGCCAGUUUCAGUCAAUGCCGAAGUAAACUACCACAUGAGUUUUCUGCCACGUAA